rnacentral:rRNA from 1 species
AACGCUAGCUACAGGCUUAACACAUGCAAGUCGAGGGGUAACGAGAGGGAAGCUUGCUUUCCUUGUCGACGACCGGCGAAUGGGUGAGUAACGCGUAUCCAACCUGCCCUUCAGUAAGGGAUAGCCUUUCGAAAGAAAGAAUAAUACCUUAUAACAUCGUUUGAUGACAUCAGAUGACGAUUAAAGAUUUAUCGCUGAAGGAUGGGGAUGCGUCCCAUUAGGCAGUAGGCGGGGUAACGGCCCACCUAACCUACGAUGGGUAGGGGUUCUGAGAGGAAGGUCCCCCACAUUGGAACUGAGACACGGUCCAAACUCCUACGGGAGGCAGCAGUGAGGAAUAUUGGUCAAUGGCCGUAAGGCUGAACCAGCCAAGUAGCGUGCAGGAUGACGGCCCUAUGGGUUGUAAACUGCUUUUAAACGGGGAUAAAGUGAGCCACGUGUGGUUUAUUGCAGGUACCGUUUGAAUAAGGACCGGCUAAUUCCGUGCCAGCAGCCGCGGUAAUACGGAAGGUCCAGGCGUUAUCCGGAUUUAUUGGGUUUAAAGGGAGCGUAGGCGGAGCGUCAAGCCAGUAGUGAAAUGUAGCGGCCCAACCGCUGCACUGCUGUUGGAACUGGCGCCCUUGAGUGCACACGAGGUAUGCGGAAUUUGUGGUGUAGCGGUGAAAUGCUUAGAUAUCACGAAGAACUCCGAUUG